rnacentral:rRNA from 1 species
UUGAACGCUGGCGGCAGGCCUAACACAUGCAAGUCGAGCGGCAGCGCGGGGCAACCUGGCAGCGAGCGGCGGACGGGUGAGUAACGCGUAGGAAUCUACCCAGUAGCGGGGGUUAGACCGGGGAAACUCGGCUUAAUACCGCAUACGCCCUAAGGGGGAAAACAGGGGAUCUUCGGACCUUGCACUAUUGGCAGAGCCUGCGUUGGAUUAGCUAGUUGGUAGGGUAAAGGCCUACCAAGGCAACGAUCCAUAACUGGUCUGAGAGGAUGAUCAGUCACACCGGAACUGAGACACGGUCCGGACUCCUACGGGAGGCAGCAGUGGGGAAUAUUGGACAAUGGGGGCAACCCUGAUCCAGCCAUGCCGCGUGUGUGAAGAAGGCCUUCGGGUUGUAAAGCACUUUAAGUGGGGAGAAAGGUUCGCUAGUUAAUACCUGGCGGAAGUGAUGUUACCCACAGAAUAGGCACCGGCUAACUCUGUGCCAGCCGCCGCCGUAAAAC